GCCGGCCCUGCCGUUUAAAUGCCUCCCGACGGGCGCCCGCCGCGCCUUUGGGUCCUGAGCUGGUGGGCUGUUGCGGGCGCGUCGAAGGAGGGAGAGCAAAGCACGCGUCUUCCCAGGGCGGCUUCACUUCUUCCUAGCGGCCGAGGGGCUCGGCUGCUUCCCAGGCAGCCCCAUGAAGAAGCCGCCCCUUGGCUUGGCCUCCUAGCCCGCUUUGCGGCGCCAGCCCCAGCCGCCUUUCGCCAUGAGCUGUCUGGAUGUUAUGUACCAAGUCUACGGUCCUCCUCAGCCUUACUUCGCAGCAGCCUACAGUCCUUACCACCAGAAAUUAGCCUUUUACUCGAAGAUGCAGGAAGCCGCCGAGAGCGCCAGCACCAGCGGCAGCAGCAGCUCCUCCUUCUCCAACCACGCCGCCCCGCCGAGCAUCAAGGAGGAAGAGUGCAGUCCUGAGAAAGAGCGCCCCCCCGAGGCCGAGUACAUCAACGCCAGGUGUGUCUUGUUCACCUACUUCCAAGGGGACAUCAGCGCCGUGGUGGACGAACACUUCAGCCGAGCCCUCAGCCAGCCCAGCAGCUACUCGCCCAGUAGUGCAAGCCUCAAGGCCGUCGCAAGGAGCUCCGCCGCUUGGAGAGAGGGAUCUUUUCCUAUGAGCCAGCGUAGUUUCCCACCCUCCUUCUGGAACAGCACUUACCAGCCUUCUUCUGUGCCUGCCUCUUUGGGCAGCCCACUGGCAGCUACUGCCCACAGUGAACUGCCCUUUGCUACAGCGGACCCUUAUUCUCCAGGCUCACUGCACAGCCACCUUCAUCAGGGCCCCCCGGAACCUUGGCACCCAGCUCACCAUCAUCAUCAUCACCAUCACCACCCAUACAUCAGUGCGCAGAGUUCUGCUUACCCUCGGCCCACCACAGUGCAUGAGGUCUACAGCCCACAUUUUGACCCUCGCUAUGGUUCACUGCUGGUGCCUGCUGCUUCUGUGCGUCCCCACCGUCUCACUCCUGCCUCGGUGCCCACACCAGUCAGCCCUCAGUGUGAGCUAGGCAAGAAUGAGCCUGCCACAUCAUCAUGGACAACGCCAGCUCCUUUUGCUGGUCCUGCAGGAGAGAUGGCACAGAGCUUAGGGCUGAAUGUAGAGACAGCCCUCUCCACAUCAUUGGUUCUCCAAGAGGGGACAAGGAAACACUCAGCAUGAUGACAUCAUGACUCAUAUUGCAUCAUGUUACCAGGAAGACAGGAGAAACAGACACAGAACACCAACAGUGUUUGCAACCUCAGGAUAAAAGCAAAGAUCUCUACUGGUUUUAGAUUCCACCAUGACUUCUCCUCUAGUCAGACUUUUGCCUAUGUAGGAGUGGGGACAGAGCCAAAGUCAAGUCAAUUUGUAACAGCUUCUGAUCUUGGUUUUCAGCUCACCAUUAUUCCUACUGUGCUGGAUCGCUCCUGAGCUGAGCUGCUGGUUAUAACCCUCCCUUCCUACGCACAAAUGCCAGCUUCAUUCUUUGCCUCACGGUUCUGAUACCAGCAUCUCACAUCGAGACAAGAAAAGCGGAAUGGCAAAGGAGGCUAAAAAGCUUCUUCAGCUUGGCAUUUCUUCUCCUAAAAUGGCAAAAUUGAACACAACAGCUUCACAUUCAGAGGAACUGAGUAAAAUGAAUGAGGAUGUGAAAAACAUUGACUUUAGGAAGCUGAAGGGUUUGUUAAUAUUAGUAAGGACAUAAAUCAUACUUAUCAUUUGGCAUUUUAAAAAAACUGGAAGCAGCAUGGAAGAUAUUUAGGCAUUGUGAAUGAAGCAGAGUAAUUCUAAACUCUUAAAUACAUUUGGAACAUAUAUAUAUAUAUUUUUUAUAAAAGGAUGGAUCUUUCUGACUUCAGCGUGGUGAUGAGUGGCAAGUGACUAGUGGGGCCACCUGCCUCCAGGCUUACACAAAUGCAGCUGUUCAAGAGACAACUGUUCCAACUCCAAGAACUUGACAAUCAAGGUGGCACUUCUCCGAGUUUGGCACAAAAAUUGCAUAGGAUAAUACUUAUAUACAUAGUUGUAUAUAUAAGUUUUUUAUAUAAAAAACAUUUAUGAUGAUAGAAAAUAUCCUUUUAAAAAAACUCUUCCAACUUUCAGGAGAAACAACUGGAGUGAGUGGGAGGGGAGGGCUAAUGGGGUAGACAAAAGACUUCAUUUAAUUGAAUGUUCCCUUAUGACUUUUUGUAGCAACCAGAAGACGGUCUCUCCUCUCUCAUUUUGAAAAGGGUAUACAGUAUAAGAAGUGUUUAUUUGUAGGGAAGAUAAUUAAAAAUGUCUCCUUUAA